rnacentral:misc_RNA from 1 species
GAUGAAGAACGUAGCGAAAUGCGAUAAGUAGUGUGAAUUGCAGAAUUCAGUGAAUCAUCGAAUCUUUGAACGCACAUUGCGCCCCUUGGUAUUCCGAGGGGCAUGCCUAUUCGAGCGUCAUUAUCACCCCUCAAGCCUAGCUUGGUGUUGAGACCUGCUGUCAAGGCAGUCUCUAAAAUCAGUGGCAGUGCUGUCAGGCUCUAAGCGUAGUAAAUCUAAUCGCUAUAGACACCUGGUGGACACUCGCCAGAACCCCCCCAUUUUUUAAUGAUUGACCUCGGAUUAGGUAGGGAUACCCGCUGAACUUAAGCAUAUCAAUAAGCGGAGGA